rnacentral:rRNA from 1 species
CUACGGGGGGCACCAGUGGGGAAUAUUGCACAAUGGAGGAAACUCUGAUGCAGCAACGCCGCGUAGAGGAUGACACUUUUCGGAGCGUAAACUCCUUUUAUAUAGGAAGAUAAUGACGGUACUAUAUGAAUAAGCACCGGCUAACUCCGUGCCAGCAGCCGCGGUAAUACGGAGGGUGCAAGCGUUACUCGGAAUCACUGGGCGUAAAGAGCGUGUAGGCGGAUAGAUAAGUCAGGAGUGAAAUCCUAUGGCUCAACCAUAGAACUGCUCUUGAAACUGUCUAUCUAGAAUAUGGGAGAGGUAGAUGGAAUUUCUGGUGUAGGGGUAAAAUCCGUAGAGAUCAGAAGGAAUACCGAUUGCGAAGGCGAUCUACUGGAACAUUAUUGACGCUGAGACGCGAAAGCGUGGGGAGCAAACAGGAUUAGAUACCCCGGUAGUC